rnacentral:rRNA from 1 species
UAGAAUUCCAGGUGUAGCGGUGAAAUGAGUAGAGAUCUGGAGGAAUACCGGUGGCGAAGGCGGCCCCCUGGACAAAGACUGACGCUCAGGUGCGAAAGCGUGGGGAGCAAACAGGAUUAGAUUCCCUGGUAGUCCACGCCGUAAACGAUGUCGACUUGGAGGUUGUGCCCUUGAGGCGUGGCUUCCGGAGCUAACGCGUUAAGUCGACCGCCUGGGGAGUACGGCCGCAAGGUUAAAACUCAAAUGAAUUGACGGGGGCCCGCACAAGCGGUGGAGCAUGUGGUUUAAUUCGAUGCAACGCGAAGAACCUUACCUACUCUUGACAUCCAGAGAACUUACCAGAGAUGCUUUGGUGCCUUCGGGAACUCUGAGACAGGGGCUGCAUGGCUGUCGUCAGCUCGUGUUGUGAAAUGUUGGGUUAAGUCCCGCAACGAGCGCAACCCUUAUCCUUUGUUGCCAGCGGUUAGGCCGGGAACUCAAAGGAGACUGCCAGUGAUAAACUGGAGGAAGGUGGGGAUGACGUCAAGUCAUCAUGGCCCUUACGAGUAGGGCUACCCACGUGCUACAAUGGCGCAUACAAAGAGAAGCGACCUCGCGAGAGCAAGCGGACCUCAUAAAGUGCGUCGUAGUCCGGAUUGGAGUCUGCAACUCGANUCCAUGAAGUCGGAAUCGCUAGUAAUCGUGGAUCAGAAUGCCACGGUGAAUACGUUCCC